rnacentral:rRNA from 1 species
CAACUUUCAACAACGGAUCUCUUGGUUCUCGCAUCGAUGAAGAACGCAGCGAAAUGCGAUAAGUAAUGUGAAUUGCAGAUUUCAGUGAAUCAUCGAAUCUUUGAACGCACCUUGCACCCCUUGGUAUUCCGAGGGGUAUGCCUGUUUGAGUGUCAUUA